rnacentral:snRNA from 1 species
GUGCUGACUUUGGCAACACAUAUACUAAAAUUGCAACAAUACAGAAAAGAUCAGCACAGCUCCUGCACAAGGGUGACAUACAGAUUCCAGUUAGAUUGGAUUA